CCUACGGGAGGCAGCAGUGGGGAAUUUUGCGCAAUGCUCGUAAGAGUGACGCAGCGACGCCGCGUGAAUGACGACGGCCUUCGGGUCGGUAAGUUCCUUCGACAGGGAAGAAAAUGCCUAGAAGUAACUGUGUAUGCAUUGAUGGUACCUGUAUAAGCAGCCCCGGCUAACUCCGUGCCAGCAGCCGCGGUAAUACGGAGGGGGCGUGCGUUGUUCGGAGUGACUGGGCGUAAAGAGCACGUGGGCGGUGUUGUAAGUCAUUAGUCAAAGACUAGAGCUCAACUUUAGUAAGGCUAGUGAUACUAUAGUACUAGAGUGUCAACGAGGAUUGCAGAAUUCCUGGUGUAGCGGUGAAAUGCGUAGAUAUCAGGAAGAAUACCGUUAGCGAAGGCGGCAAUCUGGCUGGAAACUGACGCUGAGGUGCGAAAGCGUGGGUAGCAAACAGGAUUAGAUACCCUGGUAGUC
rnacentral:rRNA from 1 species